AGCUAACACCAGACACAGAUGAAGACCUAGCUAGCCACUAGCUAACACCAGACACAGAUGAAGACCUAGCUAGCCACUAGCUAACACCAGACACAGUUGCAAGGGGAGACAUAUAAGUAUCUUUGCCAUAGAUGAAUAGUGUAGACUUUUAAUUAUAUUUGCUGAUACCCUACAGUCUAAAUUUGGCAACAGUAGAGUAGCUAUAUAAACCAAACCCCUCCGCAAACACUCUUUCUAAAAUGUUGGUAACAAGGUGGUACUUAUUUAAAUUAGGUAAGAGAAUAUCAUGUUACCGUUGAUGUGUUAAAAUUAGAGUUAGGGUGAUGUCACCCUAUCCCUUUAAUAAUCCUGAAUCCAAGUGUUUGACAUGGGGGAGGGGACCCAAACUUUUUCAAUGUAGAAGCAACAGUAAUUUUUCAUACUUCUGAUCAUUGUAUUUUGAUUUGGUUUCAUCCAAAUAUCAUCCAGUUUGAUUUAAAACAUAAUUUUGACUGUUCAUGACCCUCUGUCAUUGUCCUCACACUAACCUUGGAUUUGUUUGUUUUGACCAAGAACACAAGACAAUCAGCUCCAUGGUGCAGUGGUCUCAUAAGAAGACAAGUCGGUUAUAGAUAAUGCCUUGAUGUUUUCAUAUCUCACUACUUCACUUUUUUAAAAUUUAAACUCGCCAAAACUCACGUGCUCAUUGGGCUUGAACAAGACUCUUUACACUUCAGCCAAGAGACUUUCUUUUACACAUUUCUAUUGUUGUUGGUAUUACAAUUGAUGCUAUUAUUUAUUGAUAUAUUUUUGUAUUAGUUGUGUCUUUCUUGCCAUAUAAAGGCGGUACAGUCAAGCUCUCGCUGUAGCAUAGACCGCUGUACAGGCUUUCCAGUUACUAAACCCAAAUAGGCUUUUUUUCUCUAAAUAUGUACAUACAGUAUAAAAAAUUCAAGAAUUGUUAGAGUGCUUAUUUGAAAAGAAAUGUGUAAUUUGAAAUGUUUUAUUUCAUUCUUAUGUUCUUGUGCCAAGUUGUUUUUCUCCAUCCUCACCCGAUGACCUUACCAUAAUACCGCUUAUCUGGUUGUAUCUCUGUUUACAAACAUAUAUUUAUUGUGUUGUAUAUACUAUUAUUAUUAUUAUUCUCAUCAUGAUGCUGUUUGUUGUAAAUGAUUUACUCGUAUCAUCCCUUAUGGUGAUGGUGUGGCUGUAUUACGUAGCUCUUGUUGAGAGAAUGUUUAUUACACAUGCUUAUUCAGUGUAAAAUGAUCCAUUGGUAUUGGUUAUCUGAGACGCUUGCUCAGAGUGAAGGAGGACAGGGGAAAGCCAAAUAGUUUUUUAGAGGAAGCUGUUCCUUGGCCCAUGGGCUGUGCCUUAAAUUCAACAUGCCAUGUUUUAGUGUCUCUGUUAUUUUUCUUCUCCUCGUUUGCUGCAUUAGGUAGUCUUGUUGUUUGAGGUGACCUGACCCAGACAAUGGCCUCGAGUUGUGAAAGGAAUUCAUGAAAUAAUGUUGCCUUUCCUUCACAGCCAAAUCAGAAAUAUUAUGUGAACAUGGAAAAAAAGGCAGCACGUGCUACACAUUCUGUUGUCAAGUUUGAAAAUAGAGGUCAUGGCUGUGGAGUUCCAGGUCGACUCGGGCCAAGCUGGAUCUGUGGGGAUCUGUGGGGACGGUGGAUCCUAUAGGGUUGUGAAGCACCAAGACGUAGAGACACAUCCACGUGUUCAGUCACUGCUGCAUUUAUUUAGGCUGAAACACUCACGAUGUGCUACUCAGCCAUGCUUGGCAAGCACGUUCACUCAUACCACAUGCAAUAUCCAAAACCACUGUCAUCUUUCUGCUUAAAGAGGAGAAGGCUAGUAAUUAUGGAGUGAGGUGGGGUGGGGGUAAGGGGGGGGUGUCAUCCUAAAAACAUGUCCUUCGAUGGGGACUCUUAUUUUGACACGCAUACUGUAGAUUCUAAACAGCCCUGGACCAAUGGAAGCGGUGGGUUCUUUUCUCAUUUUGUGUUCUUAUGGGAUGAAAGAAAUACACAAACUGUAACACACAAACUGUAACUACAAAAAGGUCUUCAGGACAAUUAUUUUUGGGUUAUGUCUUUAGAAUGCCAACUUGUCUGGAAGUUUCACAAGACAAUAUAAAGUUAUUUUAAUGUAUUCCUUGUUAAUUGCAGUCUAUUGGAUAGCACUGUAGAUCAUAAACUUUCAGUAAAAAAAAAGAAAACUGAAGAAAAAAUGUUUUUAUAUGCAACAGAUGAAAUAAAAGCAUGGGUUGAUUCUGCCUACCCGUUGGUCUGUGUCAUUAUAUAGGAACUUGUACAGUUUAUUUAGUAAAGAUAAGCCUGUCUGUGAUGAUGAUGAUUCCAACAAUCUUUAAGUGAAGUUGGCUUGGAGCAGAGAUGAUGACUGGUUAGUCAUUAUGACAGAUUCAGAAAUACACUGAACAAAAAUAUAAAGGCAACAUGUAAAGUGUUGGUCCCAUGUUUCAUGAGCUGAAAUAAAAUAUCCCAG
ensembl:lncRNA